CAAAAUUAUCACUUCCAUCAUCAUUAAAAAACGAGGUAUACAAUUUCUGGUCUAUCGACUUACUGAAUAAUCAGCACUUAUAUGGGCACCUUGGCACAGAUUUCAAAUAUUUCAAACAAACAAACAUACCUGAAUGCUAAACAGAGUACAAAUAAAUCAAAGACUAUGUGUAACUAAAUUAACAUGUGCCUCGCAUCACACUGGAAAUAUAUAUGUGAAUUUGUUCAUCUCAAGACAAAUUAGGCUAAAACAAACCAGACUAGUUGUGCUCAAAUUCAACACAAAAUGGACAGAUCUGUAGACAAACCCAGCCGUCAUGAAGCACCUGCUCCGACACCUGCGUGAGCAGCAGUAAUAGAUCAACAAAGCAUGUUUCUCUCAAAAAACUGGAUUUGUUCUUCUGCGCAAGCACGGUAAGGAUUGUGGAGAAACGACAUCAUGAACUAACGGCAAAAAAUCGAAAUGGAAUCAUAGAAGGAAGAAGGACCAGACAUUGACUUCGGCCCUAGUGAAGCAUCUCCUGCACGAUGAGGCAGAGGUGGCCCUCCUCUGUUGCGGCUGUGCUCGAUCAGGUGGUGGACGUGUUAUCCAAUUUGUGCCCCGUCCGAGGCCGCCGUCUUGAAGUGGAGGAGAGGGUGAUGCGGAAGCACAUCCUACAUGCCCCCUUGAACACUAGUCGGCCGCGCGUCGGCCUCGCUGCCGUUACCACCGGCGUGGCGGAGGCUCUCCCGGCAUGCGUUCCUCAAGCCUAGCCAGGCAGCGCUGAGGUUGGAUCCUGAACGGGCGACGGCGCGAUGUGGAUCUCCGGCGAGGCGGACCUGCACAGGGGCGGUGGGCGCGGGUGCUAGGCUGUGUUCAGCGGGCUCGGGAGUUGGAGGAGCUGCUCCUCCGGAUCGGGAGCACGUGGCGGCGGAUGGGACUGGUCGGGCAUGGGUGGAAGAGGAAGAGGAGUGGGAGGAAGAGGAAUGGGGAAGGAUAGAGAGAG
rnacentral:lncRNA from 1 species